UUUCAUGUUCUCCUCUCAUAAUAUACUCAAGAACUUUUGAAGCUAUCCUCUGAAUUUCAUGACAUGCAUUCUCCCUUCAAGAACAACUGCUAAAACAUUUGUGAAGCGAGAGCUCCACCAGAAUCUGCCGUCUAAAGAUAAUCUCUUCUGCCUUAACCUGGCAGCCACCACUCCCCAUCAUCACCUCAUCAUCACUGGUGACUAGGGAGAGAGCCCCCUGGACGCAACAGACGCAGACGUGUCUGAGCAUUUCUGCAAAUGGAGGAAUCCGAGCUAGGAGGAAUCGGUUUGAGACGGGGGAGUCUUUAGGCGAAGUAAGAGAAGUGAAGCUCACCGUUUCUUCUGAUAAAAAUACCCUGGGCAGCGAGUGAGAAGGGGAACAGCCAGCAAGUGCGGUCCCCCUUGCCCGGUGAGGUCCCCUCUUCCUCCUAUUCCUGACUCUCCUGCCUCCGAGGGGGCACCUGGAGCCACAGGGGCAGAGCCUUUAACAGGAACGCAAGAGAGCUGCCUGGCUCAGAGGUCAGCAGGACUCUGGGAAAUCUGAAAGACAUAAAACAAGGGUAGACCUUUUUGCCCCCGAUGGGAGAUGAAGCCAGAACAGAUUUGAGAAAUCCCAGUAGGGAGUGAAACCUUGGCACGGCUGGCGCUCCGGCACACCAGCAGCGUCCGGGACGUUUCCGGCCACAGGGUGCAGCUGAGUGACCCCAGCUGGCCUCGGCGUGUCAGAGGCUGCAUCCUCUGAACAUACAUUCAUCAGCAGCCUACACCCACACCCACAGGCAGCCCCCGACGGCCUGUGCAUCCUCGGCCGCUGGGGGAAUGAGGAAAGCACGCGGCGGCCUGGUGGCCGAGAGAACGGACUGUGAGCUCUUCUGGGAAUUUCGGGGAACACCCAGGAGUCGUUGGGAGACAUCUGGAGGGUCCACAGAGGCAGGAAGAAAAGGAACAUGUCAGUGGAGAAGAGGCCAAGGGAGACCUCUGUGUAGGAGAUCCCAGGGAAGGAUGGGCACCGGGGUGGAUUGUGAAGUUGUGUCCACAGGGACACGCUUUCUGACAAUGGUGAGUCCUGACCCUGAACCUGAGCAGAUAAAUGCUGAAUGGAAGCCUCCCUGUAGCCAAUUUAGGCAAUGGUAUUUUGCCAGUUAAUCAUUAUCAGUACAAGUGAGAACAAAUGAUUCCAUCUAAUAAAGUUUAAUAGGAAUGUUUUAUCAGAAUUUUUUAUAAUGCCUCAUGUUUUUUUCAUACAAAUUUACCUAACUCCUCAGUCUUAUAGCUGAGCAAGUAGUGAGUCACAUUUGUUUCAGAAAUUCAAAUCAUGUUGUACAAAUAAACAGGAAAAUGAUUCAUCCUUUCAGAUUUCCACAAACUGCAACUGAGCUGCCAGUAAGACUAAUACCAGGAGCAUUUCUCCACAAGAGGGCGCCAGAAACUGACGUUUCUUAAUAACAUAAUCUUGCCAAACAAGUGAAUAUUUCUGAGUUUAAAGACAAGGUUAAACUGGCCUGGAGAAUUCCAUGGACUGUAUAGCUCAUGGGGUCGCAAAGAGUCAGACACGACUGAGAGACUUUCACUCACUCACUCAAAAGAGAGAAGGAGUCAAAUACAUAGAAGCAAUUUGGCAGAUGUAUCAGCUUCAUAUGCUUGCUUUUUGCUAAUGCUUAAAUAGUUUUGAAAUCUCCAUAAUAGUUCAGGACAUUAAAUAUGUAAAUAGCAACAUUUGAGCAAGGGAGAUCAUGGUGUCAUUCUUCUUGAGAUUGCCUUGCUGAGUACAGUGNNNNNNNNNNNNNNNNNNNNNNNNNNNNNNNNNNNNNNNNNNNNNNNNNNNNNNNNNNNNNNNNNNNNNNNNNNNNNNNNNNNNNNNNNNNNNNNNNNNUUGCCUUGCUGAGUACAGUGGGGGUUUUGUAAUGAAUUAAUUUUAAUAGGUUUUCUCCACUUAAAAAGUGACUCAGGAUGGUAUUUCAAUUAUAAUCACUGGUUCAUAUCCUUUUAUGCAAUGACCAAACUGUUACAUUAAACAGCAGAAAACAUAACAAAGUAUCUAUGAUGGUAUGCCAUUGUUAAUUUGCUAAGGAAUGCCAAUUUUAAGGAUUUGGCUUUUAAAAUGAUGUUGUAGAAUACAGAUAGACUGCUUUAGAAUAUUCUAUUAUCAAAAUAGAGAGCAACACAUUUGUUUGGGGAGGGAGGCAAAAAUAUGAUCCAAAUUACAAUAGAAAUGGAUUUAAAUAAACUUUUUUUUUUAAAGAAAGAAGAAAAUGUCAAUAGUACUGAGGAGAGAAGAACCAAGAUACUUUCAACAGGAAAAUGUCAAGCUGGUGAUUCUUAAGACAAGUACACACAGUAAGUUUUAUUCAGAUUACUCAGUCUCUCACAUCUGUAUUAUUCUUACAUUUAAGCAGUAACAGUUUCAAUGAGCUAUGUUCCUUCACUGUCCCCUGUAUUUCUCCUUUCAGCACUUAAAACUGUAACCAGAACAUCAGACCGUUUGUAUGAAGGAUGGGGAAGAAUAGCGUGUGACUUCUAAGCUGAUUCAACUCUGUCCGACUCUUUGAGACCCUAUGGACUGUAGCCUGCCAGGCUCUGUCCAUGAGAUUCUCCAGGCNNNNNNNNNNNNNNNNNNNNNNNNNNNNNNNNNNNNNNNNNNNNNNNNNNNNNNNNNNNNNNNNNNNNNNNNNNNNNNNNNNNNNNNNNNNNNNNNNNNGCCUGCCAGGCUCUGUCCAUGAGAUUCUCCAGGCAAGAAUACUGGAGUGGCAUUGCCAUGCCCUCCUCCAGGGGAUCUUCCCAGCCCAGGGAUUGAACACAUGUCUCCUGCGUUGGCAGGAGGGUUCUUAACCACUAAGCACCACCUGGGAAGCCUGGGAAGUAUAGUACAUAGUCCUAAAGGCCUGGUUUGAGCUACUCAAACAGACACAGAGAAUUCAAAAGAGCAAAUAGCUCACAUUAAAACAGUGUGUUCACCUCCUGCAGAACCCACAGGGCAGUGGAAACUUGGAGUGGAUCCCGUUUAAUUCAUUUCCUUAUGUAUUAGCUAUCUAUUGUCACAUAAUAAAUUACUCCAAUGGAUAAUGAUUUAAAACAACACAGAUAUAUUACUAACAGUUUCUUUGGGUCAAAUAUUCAGCAGAAGCUCAACCAGUGGUUCUAGCUCAGGGUCUCAUGAGGUUGCAGGCAAGAUAUUAGCCCAGGCUGUAGUUAUCUGAAGGCUUGACUGAGGCUAGAAGAUCUGCCUCCAAGAUUUCUCACUCCAAAGAACUCACCUAUGGACCUCUCCAAUAGAGCUGCUUGAGAGUUCUCGUAAUGGGCAGCUGGAUUCUCCCAGACUGAGUGGUCCAAGGGAGCAGAGCAGAAGUCACAAAUGAACAACCUUGACUACAAAGACACACUCAAUCAGUUCUACAAUACCAUAUUGGUUAUAUAAGUCACUUUUCCAAAGUGGGAGGAAACCGCACAAGGACUUGAAUACCAAGGGGCUAGAAUCAUUGAGGACUGUCUGGAGAGAUGGCUCCAUGCUCAGCUCCACCCGAGAUGUAAGCUGACAGGCAUCUCAGCCAAGGGUCCUUUUCUCUCUCCCUCCUCCCACAGCCUCUGAUUCUCUUUAUGCCCCUUUUCUCCUCAUGCUCAUCUGCUUCAACCAGACCCACAGAGUCUGUCACUGGAUAUCUCCUUAUUCAGAUCCUUAAUGUUUCAUUGCCACAUCAUUCCAGAGCUUUCCAUCGCUGAGAGCAGAAGAGAAGGGAAAACAAUUUUUCACUGAGAUCAGUCUUUCAGAAUCUCAGUACAAAGCCAUUAUCAACUUCAUAUGGCCAAGAUACUACUUCCAGUGUAUCUCCUACACUUGAUAAUGCUAAAGAACAUCUGUCUCCUCCUCGAAUCAAAUUUCAAAAGACACCCUGUUUUCUUGGCCUCAAUAUGAGUCAGGCUCCAGGUUGGAUGGGGGAGGGGUUGUGGAAUGAGGAAGGGGGAAAAGGAAACAAAAACCAUAUAACUAUGCAACAGUUGCAAUACAAAAAUUACUAGUAAAUUAUUCCUUUGACUACAUCUUACCUGAUAAAAUAUAUACUCUCCAAAUGCAAACAGUGUCUACUUCUUUGCCACUUUAAUCCUAGUACCGGCCACAGUGUCUGACACAUAAUAGAUACUCUGUUAAUCAUUUAGUAUAAAAUAGGCAGCCCACCCAGUCUUCUAAGCCUGUUAGACACUCUGCCAGCCCCAGUUCCCCUGACUUGCACUUUCUCUUAAGGCUUGUCUGCAUCCUGCCAUAUCUUCAAAACUCACCCCUUCUAAAAUAAAUCCUCCUUCUUGAAUUAUCUGGUGAAAGCUGCCUGGUUUUUGUUGUGGUUAAGUGGUCUCCUAGAGAAGAAAUGUGACCAUCCACAGCCAGCCUCACCCUUUUCCCUCCCUCAGGGGAGAGCACCCCUGACAAGAUAGCACCGAGACAGGAGAGCUUUGUUUUAUUUCUCUCUGAAUCUUUUGCAGGGAACAUAGCAUUCACCACAAGUAACAAGUCCCUAGGAAAUGUUUUGUGGGAACUGAACCAGACCACUCCUCCCCUCUCCCCACACUCAAGCUGUGAUAACUGGUAGGUCCCCAUCCCAGCAUAAGAAUGAUAAUAUGAAAGGUUCUUCCUAAAAAAAAUUAGAGAGUGAGAGAGAAAGACUGUGCUGUGAACUCUACACUUCCACCAGAUACAAGCCAUGGAAGGUCCCUGAAGGAAGGCAUCCUCCAUAUUUAUAACACAAAAUCAUCGUUGGCUAGGAUCACUUGGUAGUCAAAAAGCAGGGCUGACUUUCUCCUUUUUUUUGUUUUAAACGUGUUGAACAGCCUCUAUUUUCCUUGUGUAGUAGGCAGAGCUAGGUAUAAGGGUUAACUGUUAUGCUCCGAGCCCGUAUCUCCGAACCGACCGAGAGAGCAAGUCC
ensembl:lncRNA